rnacentral:tRNA from 2 species
GGGGGUAUAGCUCAGGGGUAGAGCAUUUGACUGCAGAUCAAGAAGUCCCUGGUUCAAAUCCAGGUGCCCCCU